GACGAACCGUACGAACGUUAUUCGGAAUUACUGGGCGUAAAGCGUGCGCAGGCGGCGCGUUAAGACAGGUGUGAAAGCCCCGAGCUUAACUUGGGAAUUGCGCUUGUGACUGGCGUGCUGGAGUGUGGCAGAGGGAGGUGGAAUUCCACGUGUAGCAGUGAAAUGCGUAGAGAUGUGGAGGAACACCGAUGGCGAAGGCAGCCUCCUGGGCCAGCACUGACGCUCAUGCACGAAAGCGUGGGGAG
rnacentral:rRNA from 1 species